rnacentral:misc_RNA from 1 species
ACAGCCUUUCGUUCACGACGCGUAUUGCCUCAGCCUCUUACCACCGCCUAUAAGCCUUUACGACAAGAACAUGAUGAAAUCUGUCGGUCUUUUCCUUCUUCUCAUAGCAGCCUUUGCCUACUCCGGUGUUGAAGGAGCAAAUCCGUGCGCAACGGCCCUCAAAGCCGCAUGGUUGGAUUAUACAAUAGCUAGUGGAACACUUCGAUUCCCUAAUUCUGCCACCUCCGCCUGCGGAGCAGAUCCAGCGGGACAUGCAGCCAUUGAUGCCCUCAGAGGUGACUGCCAGAGCUAUAACUUCAGUGUAGGCGAUCUCAAGUGCGAUGUUGUCGCAGCUCCCUACAUGAAAUGUGUUGCGGGAAAACUUGGAUACUUGAACGACGAUGGCUCCAUCAACACCAAGAAGAUCUUCGCCCAGUACAAGGCUGACGCCACCAGUGGCCGCAAGUGCAGCUUUCGUCAGUACGACUUCGCUGUGGCAAAAUGUGGCACCAACAUCGACAACUACGCGUUCCUAAAGAAAGUCCAAUGCAUCAUCACGGCGACUGACAAGUUCACGGCCGGCUGACCUGCGCAAUCUGGCCCUCAUUUCUUCAUCUGAUUGGCGGCUUUGAAGUGUUCACUACAUUACAUACAAGGUCUGAAACAACAGGUGGUCUGACAACAUACAAGGUCUGAAACAACAGGUGCACAAUAAUAAUUAGGGGACCUCUUUCUCCAGGCAAUGCAUCCACGUACAGUAAAAAAUUUUUAGUUGGAAGUUCAUGUAAGUUGUAAAACAUUAAAUUCAGUAAAAUCCUGCUCAAAAUCAGUUUAAUAAUUAUUAUUUUAUUAAAAAAUUGAAAGUCUUCUGUAGAAGUGAAGCAUUUUGCUUUUUACAAACAUAUUUUGCGUCAAUAAAUUUCUAUUUAAUGCACUUGACAUUAUUUGUAUUUUUCACAAAAAAAAUAAUUUGACAGGAUCAAGGUAAUUUGGCUUGAAUAGAAGUUUAAAUAAAUAAAUAAGCGUAUGACGAAUCAUUGUGCACUUAAGUAUAACCAGAAAUCCUAAUAGGCUAAACGUUCUUUGCCCUGCUGGCGAAAGGAUCUCUGCGAUCCUCUGCACUUGUUAACACGUUUUUCUUAGCUUAGCUUCGCGUUUGUUUGUUUGUUUGCUUGU